GGAAGCUGACAACGGGAGACGUCCGCCACCGAGCACUGCCACGCGUGUAGCUGCAGUGGGCAAGGGACGCCGCCCGCCGCUAGGACUCGUUGCGACAGGAGCUGCCGAUGAUAGACACGCCAUCCGCCGCCGAGCACCGCCGUGGGAGGAGCUACGGCGGGCUAGCUACGCCGUACGCUACCGGGAGGAGCUACAGCGACCUAGCGACGCCGACCGCACGGCUGGAGACCGGCCCAGGACCCGUGUGCUUGGUGGAGCCAUGGCGGGGGAACUUCACCGCCUACGUCGCCGUGGGUUCACCGGAGUAAAACGCCGGACUUGUUCAGGAGACGCUGCUGCGACGCCUCUCUGCCAUCACCUGUGCUGCCAUGUUCAUCGGGCGUCGUGUGCGGCCCACAACAUCGAGAACACACGAGUUUCGUCGGCCGAUUCAGACCCAACUCCGUCCAGCGCGACCCACUUCUUAUCUUGAGCCAGCGAUGGCUGUUCCAUUCCGUUUCCCGUUUAAUUCUGAGUACUGGAGCCUGAGGCGAACGCAACUAUGGCAAGGAAUGUGUUUUAUGCAAGCUAGAGAACAGCUGCGGGCAGGCUGGCAAUCCGGAGAUGCAUGCGAGCUCAGAGUAUGGCCAUGAAUGAUACUCUGCUGAUGAACACCAAUACCACUUGUACUAGUAGUAGAUAUCUGUUGCAGGGAACGGAGGACUGCAUUGUCGAUGGUAACCUGAAGUCCUGAACCGCCACACCGUGCACGACAUCUAUUUGCUGCCGCCCCCGUACCAAACCAGUCAAGCAUACACAAACGAUGAUGAUGACGACGACGACGCCAACGAUGAUGGUAUCAAGGACGACAAUGAUUUUGAUGGUCCACCAUGAGAGAAGCCUCACCAGGGGCAUUGUAGUCGUUGCUGAAGAAUCAUAUGCACUCAAAUACAAGGACUUAUGAUGGUGUUCCAUGACUAAAGAUUCUGAAAAAUACAUGUCUUUUCAAGUUGCUGUUUCAUUUCUGGUUAGAGAUGAACAAAUACAACGGUAGUCUACAGAGUGUUUUUAGUUCAUAAUUUCUUAAUGGUAUUGUGACUUUGGAACUGUAUGUGAGGAUCAUGUUCAGUAUAUAUGGUUU